rnacentral:misc_RNA from 1 species
AAAAUCUACAAGAAUUUAUUAAUGAAGUUGUGAUUCUUUCUCAAAUCAAUCACAGGAAUAUUGUCAGGCUUUUGGGAUGCUGCUUGGAAACAGAAGUUCCCUUGCUAGUCUAUGAAUUCAUACCCAAUGGAUCUCUUUUUCAGUAUCUCCAUGGCCAAAAUGAGGCGUCUUCAUUACCAUGGGAAAUGAGAGUACGGAUUGCGAGUGAAAUUGCUGCGGCACUUGCGUAUUUGCACUCAGCAGCUUCUAUUCCAAUUUACCAUCGUGACAUUAAAUCUACAAAUAUACUCAUAGAUGAGAAACACAAAGCAAAAGUAUCAGAUUUUGGAACUUCAAGAUCAAUUGCGAUUGAUCAAACUCAUUUGACAACUCAUGUGCAUGGCACUUUUGGUUAUUUGGAUCCAGAGUACUUCCAAUCUAGCC